rnacentral:rRNA from 1 species
GGCGAGAGACGAUAGCGAACAAGUACCGUGAGGGAAAGAUGAAAAGAACUUUGAAAAGAGAGUUAAACAGUACGUGAAAUUGUUGAAAGGGAAACGAUUGAAGUCAGUCAUACCAACGGGAAAUCAACCUUUUGAGUUUGUUCUUGUGGGUUUCGAGGAGUUUAAAAGCCUUCUGAUUUGCUAGGAUUGGGCUCUUUUGGUGUACUUUCUCGUACGGUUAGUCAACAUCGGUUUUGAAUGUCAUAAAAUGA